GAUAGAAAAAAAAAAAAAAAGAAGAAACUCCUACUUUAUUGUUGCUUUGUUUUUUCAAAUUCAAAUGCAUUAAGGUUAAUCAAUAGUGCUUUCUUUUAUUUUGGGUAUAUCAAAUCAGAGUAAAUAGGUUAUUUCAUUCAUCUCUACAAGAAAUGUCAGAUCUCAAAGUACAAAAUUUGCUGCUAUAAGAUUAUAGUAGUAAUAUGUGAAUUGCCGCAUAUUGUUGUAGUAAAAUUAGUGGCUAUAGAUAUUUUAUAACAAAUUGUGAUUGUCACAAAUAAAAAGGUUAUUAGCGGCAACAAUUAUUUGUACAAUAAAUUUUUAAUAAUAAUAAUAAUUGUUGUCACAUAUGCUUUAUGUAUUACUAGCAUCAAUGUUCAUAUUUCCGCUGUAAGUUAGUAUUAUAGGCAGUAAAAUUAUUGUUGCUAUAAAAUUUUUGCUGCUAAUUUUAAUGUUUGUUGUAAUGCAUGAUCGUUUAAACUAU
rnacentral:misc_RNA from 1 species